GACGAACGCUGGCGGCGUGCCUAAUACAUGCAAGUAGAACGCUGAAGGAGGAGCUUGCUUCUCUGGAUGAGUUGCCAACGGGUGAGUAACGCGUAGGUAACCUGCCUGGUAGCGGGGGAUAACUAUUGGAAACGAUAGCUAAUACCGCAUAAUAGUAGAUGUUGCAUGACAUUUGCUUAAAAGGUGCAAUUGCAUCACUACCAGAUGGACCUGCGUUGUAUUAGCUAGUUGGUGGGGUAACGGCUCACCAAGGCGACGAUACAUAGCCGACCUGAGAGGGUGAUCGGCCACACUGGGACUGAGACACGGCCCAGGCUCCUACGGGAGGCAGCAGUAGGGAAUCUUCGGCAAUGGACGGAAGUCUGACCGAGCAACGCCGCGUGAGUGAAGAAGGUUUUCGGAUCGUAAAGCUCUGUUGUAAGAGAAGAACGAGUGUGAGAGUGGAAAGUUCACACUGUGACGGUAUCUUACCAGAAAGGGACGGCUAACUACGUG
rnacentral:rRNA from 1 species